CCAGGGUCGAAGCUCAGAGUUGGCAUCAAAGUGCAGAAGAGGGGUCAACAACUCGAGGGAUAUCAUCAUCUCACAAAGAAGUAGCAGAAUCAAUCAGUUCCUUGCGAAAGGAAAAACUUGUUUCGUGCACGCAUGACGCAUUUUUGAAAGAUAAAAAUCACUGUUCGAUUAUUCUGAUGGAAAGAAGUGAUUAAACAAAAUUACACUUGACAAAUUUUCGCAAUUUGGCUGUUGAAAUAUAAAAUUUCCACAGCCUUAGGACUGAGAGAGGAGCUUGACCAUGGUUGGGCAGGGCCUACAUUUAGCAAGCAAGGGCUCAGCCUUGGCCAUAGUGAGCCCACUCCCUUCCUUCAUAUCCACCAUCUCUUCACCUACUCUUUCCCACUCAAAGCAUUGAACUAGAGUUCCCAAAGCCAACCCAACCAUCCUCAUGGCUAGGCCCUCUCCGGGGCAACCCCUCCUCCCAGCCCCGAACGGCAAUAACAUGUAUCCCUCUUUUUUUCGCUCUAAGCCCUGGAAUCUCUCUGGCUUAAACUUUGUGGGCUCUGCCCAAAAGUUAGCAUCAUUUUGUAUAGCAAACAUGUUCACCAAUAACAUUGUGCCUUGUGGGACGUCGAAACCUCCUACAGUGCACUCCUCAGAUGACUCGUGGGGUGCUAGCAGUGGAGCAGUUGGGUGGAUUCGGAGGGUCUCAUUAAUGAUCCCAUGGAGAUAGGGAAGCUUGGAGAGGUCUGAUUCUUCAAUGAGCUUGGCUUGCCCUAUGUUUUUGGCAAUUUCGGCCUUGGCUUUCACAAGGGCCUCUGGAUUGUUUAGCAAAAGUGAUAGUGCCCACUCCAUGGUUCCAGCAGAAGUGUCACUCCCAGCUGACAAUAGAACCUGCAUCAUGCCUCUGAUUAUAUCGUCUGUAUAGUAUUCAGGCUCAUUUUCUUGCAGCCCUAGCAAGACAUCAAUCAUAGUCUUAUCCCUCUUCACAGAAGCAGAAUCACCCUUUGAUCUUUUGUGCGCUUCAAUCAACUUUUGCAUGAACCUAUCCCUCUUUCUUUGCAGUGCUUCUAGCCUCUUUCCAAUCUUAUUCAAUCCAAUCCACUUCAAACCCGGCAAGAAAUCUCCAAUAUUCGUAGCUCCACUCAAUUCAAAAGUCUCUGUCACGAUUUCUUUAAACCUCCUUUCAUCAUCCAACUCUUCCAUGCUCUCUCCAUAAUAUCGCUUUCCCGCAAUCAUCCUCAUCAUAACAUUCAGUGCAAGCUCGAAGAACAUUAAUUUCAUGUCCACAGUCACGAAUUCACCAUAUUUUGAUUGCCUAAAAAUCCUGCGAACCAAUGAUCUGACCUCUUCCACACGUAUAUUAUGGAACAUCUGUAGGCGAUAAGAUGACAAGAGUUCAAGAGAAGCUAUGCGCCUUAAGUUGCGCCAGUGAUCGCCGUAGG
rnacentral:misc_RNA from 1 species